GAUGAACGCUGGCGGCGUGCCUAAUACAUGCAAGUCGAGCGAACGGACGAGAAGCUUGCUUCUCUGAUGUUAGCGGCGGACGGGUGAGUAACACGUGGAUACCCACCCUUUAAAACUGGGAUAACUCGGGAAAACCGGAAUUAUAACCGGAAAUAAUUUGAAACCUCUGGUUUCAAAAUGAAAGAAGGGUUUGCCGUCAACUACUGAUGGAUCCGCGCUGCAUUAGCUAGUUGGUAAGGUAACGGCUUACCAAGGCCACGAUGCAUAGCCGACCUGAGAGGGUGAUCGGCCACACUGGAACUGAGACACGGUCCAGACUCCUACGGGAGGCAGCAGUAGGGAAUCUUCCGCAAUGGGCGAAAGCCUGACGGAGCAACGCCGCGUGAGUGAUGAAGGUCUUCGGAUCGUAAAACUCUGUUAUUAGGGAAGAACAUAUGUGUAAGUAACUGUGCACAUCUUGACGGUACCUAAUCAGAAAGCCACGGCUAACUACGUG
rnacentral:rRNA from 1 species